rnacentral:piRNA from 1 species
GUGGUUAAGGCGUUGGACUCGAA